rnacentral:rRNA from 1 species
ACGGCUCAGUAACACGUGGACAACCUGCCCUUAGGACGGGGAUAAACCCGGGAAACUGGGUAUAAUACCCGAUAGGUCUCGAUUGCUGGAAUGCAUCGAGAUUUAAAGCUCCGGCGCCUAAGGAUGGGUCUGCGGCCUAUCAGGUAGUAGUGGGUGUAGCGUACCUACUAGCCUACGACGGGUACGGGUUGUGAGAGCAAGAGCCCGGAGAUGGAUUCUGAGACACGAAUCCAGGCCCUACGGGGUGCAGCAGGCGCGAAAACUUUACAAUGCUGGCAACAGCGAUAAGGGAACCUCGAGUGCCAGGUUACAAAUCUGGCUGUCGAGAUGCCUAAAAAGCAUUUCAUAGCAAGGGCCGGGCAAGACCGGUGCCAGCCGCCGCGGUAACACCGGCGGCUCGAGUGGUAACCGUUAUUAUUGGGUCUAAAGGGUCUGUAGCCGGCCGGAUAAGUCUCUUGAGAAAUCUGGCAGCUUAACUGUCAGGCUUUCAGGAGAUACUGUCUGGCUCGAGGCCGGGAGAGGUGAGAGGUACUUCAGGGGUAGGGGUGAAAUCUUGUAAUCCUUGAAGGACCACCAGUGGCGAAGGCGUCUCACCAGAACGGACCUGACGGCAAGGGACGAAAGCUAGGGGCACGAAUCGGAUUAGAUACCCGGGUAGUCCUAGCCGUAAACGAUACUCGCUAGGUGUCGGCCACGGUGCGACCGUUGUCGGUGCCGUAGGGAAGCCGUGAAGCGAGCCACCUGGGAAGUACGGCCGCAAGGCUGAAACUUAAAGGAAUUGGCGGGGGAGCAC